UACGGAGGGAGCUAGCGUUGUUCGGAAUUACUGGGCGUAAAGCGCACGUAGGCGGCUAUUCAAGUCGGGGGUGAAAGCCCGGGGCUCAACCCCGGAACUGCCCUCGAAACUAGAUAGCUAGAAUCUUGGAGAGGCGAGUGGGAUUCCGAGUGUAGAGGUGAAAUUCGUAGAUAUUCGGAAGAACACCAGUGGCGAAGGCGACUCGCUGGACAAGUAUUGACGCUGAGGUGCGAAAGCGUGGGGAGCAAACAGG
rnacentral:rRNA from 1 species